CCUACGGGGGGCAGCAGUGGGGAAUAUUGCACAAUGGGCGCAAGCCUGAUGCAGCCAUGCCGCGUGUGUGAAGAAGGCCUUCGGGUUGUAAAGCACUUUCAGCGGGGAGGAAGGCGGUGAGGUUAAUAACCUCAUCGAUUGACGUUACCCGCAGAAGAAGCACCGGCUAACUCCGUGCCAGCAGCCGCGGUAAUACGGAGGGUGCAAGCGUUAAUCGGAAUUACUGGGCGUAAAGCGCACGCAGGCGGUCUGUCAAGUCGGAUGUGAAAUCCCCGGGCUCAACCUGGGAACUGCAUUCGAAACUGGCAGGCUAGAGUCUUGGAGAGGGGGGUAGAAUUCCAGGUGUAGCGGUGAAAUGCGUAGAGAUCUGGAGGAAUACCGGUGGCGAAGGCGGCCCCCUGGAUAAAGACUGACGCUCAGGUGCGAAAGCGUGGGGAGCAAACAGGAUUAGAUACCCUAGUAGUC
rnacentral:rRNA from 1 species